GUUUCAUUUAAUUUUUUUUUAGAAUUUUAUUUUUUAGUUAAAAAGCUAAAAUAAUUUCAAAAGACGAGAAGACCCUAUAAAUCUUAAUUAUUUCAAUUUAUUUUAAUUUUUUUUGAAAAAUUUAGUUUUAAUUAAUUGAAUAAUUUUAUUGGGGUGAUAUUAAAAUUUAAUAAACUUUUAAUGAUUUAUGAUAUAUCAUUUAUUUAUGAUUAAUUGAUCCAUUUUUAGUGAUUAGAAAAUUAAGUUACUUUAGGGAUAACAGCGUAAUUUUUUUGGAGAGUUCUUAUCGAUAAAAAAGUUUGCGACCUCGAUGUUGGAUUAAGAUUCUUAUUUAAAUGUAGAAGUUUAAAUAUCAAGUCUGUUCGACUUUUAUAUCUUACAUGAUCUGAGUUCAAACCGGCGUAAGCCAGGUUGGUUUCUAUCUUUGAUAUUUUUAAAUAUUUUAGUACGAAAGGAAUAAAUAUUUGUUUUUUAAAAAUUUAUUUUUAUGAAU
rnacentral:rRNA from 1 species